rnacentral:rRNA from 1 species
CCUACGGGGGGCUGCAGUGGGGAAUAUUGGGCAAUGGGCGCAAGCCUGACCCAGCAACGCCGCGUGAGGGAAGAAGGCUUUCGGGUUGUAAACUUCUUUUCUGAGGGACGAAGAAAGUGACGGUACCUCAGGAAUAAGCCACUGCUAACUACGUGCCAGCAGCCGCGGUAAUACGUAGGUGGCACGCGUUAUCCGGAUUUAUUUGGUGUAAAGGGCGUGUAGGCGGUGAAGCAAGCCAGAUGUGAAACCUCAGGGCUCAACCCUGGGCCUGCAUUUGAAACUGUUCUUCUUGAGUGCUGGAGAGGCAAUCGGAAUUCCGUGUGUAGCGGUGAAAUGCGUAGAUAUAAGGAGGAACACCAGUGGCGAAGGCGGACUGCUGGACAGUAACUGACGCUGAGGCGCGAAAGCGUGGGGAGCAAACAGGAUUAGAUACCCUUGUAGUC